AUUGAACGCUGGCGGCAUGCUUUACACAUGCAAGUCGAACGGUAACAGGCCUUCGGGUGCUGACGAGUGGCGAACGGGUGAGUAAUGCAUCGGAACGUACCCAGAGGUGGGGGAUAACGCAGCGAAAGCUGUGCUAAUACCGCAUGUGAUCUGAGGAUGACAGCGGGGGACCGAGCAGCAAUGUUUGGCCUCGCGCCUUUGGAGCGGCCGAUGUCGGAUUAGCUAGUUGGUGGGGUAAAGGCCUACCAAGGCGACGAUCCGUAGCUGGUCUGAGAGGACGACCAGCAACACUGGAACUGAGGCACGGCCCAGACUCCUACGGGAGGCAGCAAUGGGGAAUUUUGGACAAUGGGCGCAAGCCUGAUCCAGCAAUGCCGCGUGCGGGAAGAAGGCCUUCGGGUUGUAAACCGCUUUUGGCAGGAACGAAACGGUGUCCGCUAAUACCGGGCGAUAAUGACGGUACCUGCAGAAUAAGCACCGGCUAACUACGUG
rnacentral:rRNA from 1 species